rnacentral:lncRNA from 1 species
GGCUUCGUGAGGCGGAAGUGACGCAGUGUUGUCGUCUCGUAGGCUUGAAAGUUUAGUUCCAGGAUCCACACUCCUCCACCAUAGUCAGGAGAUUCAGGGAAAGUUGGCAGGGUUCAGCUUUCAAGUUGACCCUUGAUGAACCAUGGUCAAUCCUGUUAAGAGGCGUGAAAGCCAAUCCCAGCCAAUGAGACUGGGGAGAAAUCACUGAAGAACUUGUGGAAAACAGACCCUCUGGAUAAAAGACACGUGUGGGGAAAAAGGGGCUUUUUAAUGUUAUUCUGGAUGUUUCCCAAAAGUACUGCUGCUGCCUUGCCUCCCUGACAGACACUGGCCUUAGGAUGACAUGCGGCAGGAAGGAAGGACGGAUCUGGGGUUUUUCAAGACUCACUGAGAUGCACAAGGAACCAACCCUCAAGUAGCCAACUCGUUCCUGUUUGCAUGUGUCGACUGAAAAGAAUCAAAAUAAACAAAAUAUAACUAUUUCUAAGAGGUUACAACUUGCAGGCAGGAAGCAGGCCUCUACCUGAGGCCAUAAAGCAUACUUUGAAGGAGAAAAGGUAGGUAUUUAUGCUAGGUGGAGAGGUAGGAUAUACGUAUUCUGUAGCAUACAGGAGAAGCCUAUGAAAAUUCAUGGAGGAAACUCGUUAGAGACACGCACUGGGCUUACAUAUGAAGAAUAUCCAAAAGCGGAUGACCUGUGUUCACUCUGGGGUGAAGAUUUAACAUUUAAAUGUAUUAUAAUUAGGCUGUAAAUGCAAAAAGGUGAAACAUAGGGCACAAGUUCACGAUCUGUGCAAUCUCCAGAGACCAGUCUGAUCUAGCCUGCAGCUGGCAGUCAUCUGUCAAGAAGGGGCUCUUUGUAGCCCAGAGUAGCUGUCAGGUUGGAACCAUAAAACCAAAAGGAGGGCAUCGGCGGUUAGGUGAAGAAAAGAAGUCUUUUGGCCUUUUUUCCUCUUCAAGUCAGCUUUUGAUAAGAUCUAGUAAUAAUAAGGGGAUGGGUGUGGCUGCAGGUGGGACAUGUCGGUUCUCUGUCCUGUCACAGCUAAGAACUAAGAACUUUAGAGUCUUUCAGCCAUAGAGGGUCCUGUCAUCCAUUGAAGGGAUCAGUCCAUUGGGAUUUUGCCAGUUUUAGCAUUGAUGCUGUGUCCUGGGAAACCCCUGAAUACUUAUCAUAGCAGAAGUUCAGCCACUGUAGCCCUACCUCAGGACCGCUUUUAUGGGAAAGAAUAAUUCCUUUAACUGCUUGAGCCAUUUGAGUUGUGGCUGCUUUUGGUACUUGUAAUAAAUUGAAAGCAUCUUGAAUGUUCUGGGACAGUAAAAGAAUGUGCCUUUGUUUCUGACAGCAAUUAUAAAAUCAAUUAUAUGUUUAUAUUCUAAAAAAUGUUUUGAGUAAUGCUGACAUCAUUGGAAAAGUGCAUCACUUAGAAAAUGUAUCUGUGUGUCAAUUUUGUUUGUUCAAAAUCAGUUUCAUUAAUUUGUGGGAAGAUACACCUUGUACAUUUUACCUAAUUAAAAAAAAUAUUGCCAGUUGAGUAUACUUGUGAUAUAUUCAAAGAUAAAUAAACUUUUUCAAUUUUAGAUAUU